AAUUGAACUGACUCAGUUAAACCACCAAACCGUCAUAUUUAGUUCGAUUCGGAUCGGGUUGGAUGGUUUAGAUGGUAUAGUCAGAAUUUUUUACACCCCUAACAUAGAUAUACAGAUUCCUCCAUGUAUAUACAUAUGUAUGUGUGUGUGUAUGUACGCAUGCAUGCAUGUAUAUGUGCAUGUAUAUAUGUAUAUAUGUAUGUAUAUAUGUGUUGGAAAGGAUCCCUCAUAAGUAUGGAAUAGAGAUCCUCCAUCUAAGAUCGCUAACCCAGAUGAUGCAUGAUGUCGAUACCACAAU
rnacentral:lncRNA from 1 species